UCUAGAUGACAGCGCUAGUAGCCGCGGCUGGAGGAAGUGUUGUCUGUAUUAUAAAUAGCACACAUUAUUGACGAAAACUAAUCUAGUACGGUAAUAGGUACGAUGUGUAUAAAUGCGACAAGUUGACCUCUGUCCGAGUGCAGAUAGUGAAAUAGGACGCAGUAAUAAGGGACGUUCCGCUUCAUACAUCUUCCGGGGAUGAUGCCACAGUGUAUUCAGUUUAGAGUAACUAUGUUUUAGUAUUGCUGUGUUACCCUCAACCCAUCGCUAUUCUCACAUGGUAAAGUAGAUGUGAUCGAAGCUGAUGCCCAAUUCUCAAGCAAGCACUAGUGGUUUGUCCAAACAAAUAAGACAACUGUACAAUUCAUUAAUAAAAGAGAAGAGAAGUAAUUCCGAAGCGAGACAAUAAAUUAACACAGGGAACCAACGAGCCACAGAACAUACAAUACAAAGAUAUUUGCAUCGGGAAUAUGAAAACGUCCGGAAAAAUGUGAAUAUAUGGUUAAAUCCGGAAAAUUCCUAUCUCUGAGUCUACAAAGUUAAAAUAUCGAGAAAAAAGUGGUCUGCUUUUUAAAUCGUCAACGAUAUACGAUAAUAACGCGGUCCAACAAGCAUUCUGCUGUGGCUCCACGCUAUAACUCAAUUCUGUUAACGUAUGCUGAAUCACAUGGACUCCUGCUGUAAAAUAGCUUGAGCGAUGCAUCGUUGCCGAGCCGAGGGCCGGAGUCGGGUGAUACUUCUGUAGAAGGUCGAAGCCAAGCGGCACACUAUCAACACUAUAGCGCGUCGCCGCAUAACACUUUGUUGUGUGAAUUGUGGGAUCCAACCCUACCCACCCUAAGCCGAGAUCCGUCUGGAGCGGGGAUCGGACAUCGAGAUGGUUGGGGCUCAUGAUCCACGGGGCUCAGUUGGUAGUCAUCUUGCACAUAGCCCCGCCUGAUCCCCAUGGACCAGUUAGGUAUCUGUAAAUUUCAUUCCUCAAGGUAAAAUGUACGACAAAAGUUUUCCUAGACUAACAGUACCAAGUCUUUUCAAUGACUUAGAAUUCCAUGUAGCAUAAACACGUAGACAUUCAUUUUCAAUGCCUGUAUAGAUGAUACCGCCACCGCCGGAGUCCGUCAGGGAUGUAUUAUUUCUCCACUAUUGUUCAAUGUGUACACAGAGCUCAUAUAGAGAAUUAUACUUGAAGACUGGACAGAUGGCAUCUCGAUCGGUGGCUUGAAGCUCUCCCACCACUUCCCCAGCCCAUGGAAGAACUUCUCGGCAAGAUGGAACGCGUGAGCCUUGAGUUCGAAUUUAAAAUAAACCGGAAUAAACAAAAAAAAUGAUUGUCGACCGCAUGAAUAAUUCUGCGGAAACUAUAUAAAAUUGCUAGUUGUGAUGUGGUGCAAUCGUAUAUUACAUUUAUCUGGGAAAUUUAAUUACGAACAACGGUGGAUAUAUCGAAGAAGUAAAGAGGCGUAUGGCAUUUUCUGGGUCUGCAACAGACAGAUUAAGGAAAAUAUGGAAGAUGUUGCAACAUAUUAUAUAGAGCCAGAAGAUAGACGCCCUGGAGAUGUGGUGCUGGAGGUAAUAAUGCUCGGAGUUUCGUUGACUGAAAUUCAUACCAACGAGUCUUUACUUCGAGAACUCGGUAUCAAGCAGCAUAUAUCAUCUUUGGUACAGUCUCGUAUUCUCAACUUUUUUGGUCACGAAUAAGAUUGCCUAUGAGGUGGACUGACCAGAUAAAAGCGGCAGUUAAGUGGCUCACCAUCAUUACACGAAUGCACGGUGAGGGCGGUCGGCAGAAAGGAGUGGUAGCAUGUUGUGAAGCUUGCCACCAACGCCUGAAGUGAUGAUAACGACUAUUAUUUCAAGCUAUACCGACUAGGAAGAAGAAGAAGAAGGAAGAUAGAAAAAAAAAUUGAAGAGAAAAGU